rnacentral:rRNA from 1 species
UACGUAGGGGGCCAGCGUUGCUCGGAAUUACUGGGCGUAAAGGGUUCGUAGGCGGUGCGGCAAGUCGGGAGUGAAAUCUCUGGGCUCAACUCAGAGGCUGCUUCCGAAACUGCCGUGCUUGAGUGCGGGGGAGGCGAGUGGAAUUACAGGUGUAGCGGUGAAAUGCGUAGAUAUCUGUAGGAACACCCGUGGCGAAGGCGGCUCGCUGGACCGCAACUGACGCUGAGGAACGAAAGCUAGGGGAGCAAACAGG